rnacentral:rRNA from 1 species
AUUGAACGCUGGCGGCAUGCUUUACACAUGCAAGUCGAACGGCAGCGCGGGCUUCUGCCUGGCUGCUAGUGGCGAACGCGUGAGUAAAACAUCUGAACGUGCCCAGCAUUGUGGGAUAGCUCGGCGAAAGCCGGAUUAAUACCGCAUACGACCUGACCGUGAAAGCGGGGGAUCUUCGGACCUCGCGCUAUUGGAGCGGCCGAUGCGAGAUUAGCUAGUUGGUUGGGUAAAGGCCUACCAAGUCGACGAUCUGUAGCUGGUCUGAGAGGACGACCAGCCACACUGGGACUGGGACAGGGCCCAGACGCCUGCGGGAGGCAGCAGUGGGGAAUUGUGGACAAUGGGCGAAAGCCUGAUCCAGCAAUGCCGCGUGUGUGAUGACAGCGUUCGGGUUGUAAAGAACUUUUGGCGGGAACGAAAAGGACUGUGCUAAUACGACGGUUCGAUGACGGUACCCGGAGAAUAAGCACCGGCUAACUACGUG